rnacentral:rRNA from 1 species
GAUUCUGGCUCAGGAUGAACGCUAGCUACAGGCUUAACACAUGCAAGUCGAGGGGCAGCAUGAUCGAAGCUUGCUUGAUGAUGGCGACCGGCGCACGGGUGAGUAACGCGUAUCCAACCUUCCCUAUAGUAGAGGAUAGCCCGGCGAAAGUCGGAUUAAUACUCUAUGUUUUCCGAAGCAGACAUCUAAUUUGGAACAAAGGUUCACCGCUAUAGGAUGGGGAUGCGUCUGAUUAGGUUGUUGGCGGGGUAACGGCCCACCAAGCCUACGAUCAGUAGGGGUUCUGAGAGGAAGGUCCCCCACAUUGGAACUGAGACACGGUCCAAACUCCUACGGGAGGCAGCAGUGAGGAAUAUUGGUCAAUGGGCGAGAGCCUGAACCAGCCAAAGUAGCGUGCAGGAUGACGGCCCUAUGGGUCGUAAACUGCUUUUAUACGGGGAUAAAGUGAGGGACGUGUCCCUUUUUGUAGGUACCGUAUGAAUAAGGACCGGCUAAUUCCGUGCCAGCCGCGGC